GGAAGGUUGUCCGAGAGGCUGAAGGAGCACGCUUGGAAAGCGUGUAAACGUUUUACGUUUCGAGGGUUCGAAUCCCUUACCUUCCU
rnacentral:tRNA from 1 species